rnacentral:rRNA from 1 species
AGUGUACAAGUCUCCGUUGUGAACCAGCGGAGGGAUCAUUA